rnacentral:lncRNA from 1 species
AUGGAGCCCCCCUCUCCCUCCCCCUACCGGCCGCCCCCCAGCCCCGGAGGGGGAGGGGCCCCAGGCCUUGGCCACGCCCAAGGGGGGCACGGCCACGCCCAGGGGGGGCUAGGCCACGCCCAGGUGGGGCUCAGCCACUCCCAGGGGGGGCUCGGCCACGCCCAGGGGGGGCUAGGCCACGCCCAGGUGGGGCUCAGCCACUCCCAGGGGGGGCUCAGCCACUCCCAGCCGGGGCUCGGCCACGCCCAUGGGGGACUAGGCCACGCCCAGGUGGGGCUCAGCCACUCCCAGGGGGGACUAGGCCACGCCCAGCCGGGGCUGGGCCACGCCCAAGGUCAGCCGACUGGAGGAGGAGGCGGUUUCCUAGGCAACCUGUUCGGUAGCCGCCGGGGCAAGGUCCCGGGUCCCCUGGUGAUGAUGUCAGCGCCGCCCCAGCAGGGGGGCCCCGUCAGCCCUCUGAUGAUCGCAUCGCCUCCCCACUACCCCGCCCCUGCCCCGCCCCUCCCCACCGCCCUCUCCCCCUGCCCCUCCCCCUCCCCCCACAUGGGGGAGGGAGGGGCGGGAGGGGGGCCUUCCAAGCUACAGGCGCUUCACGCCCAGUAUUGCCAUGGCAACAGCGGAGGAGGAGGAGGAGGAGGAGGAGGGGGGGUCGCCGGGCAGCAGCAGCAGACUCCGCCCCCUCCGUAUCACCACCACCACCGCUAUCACCUGCAGGACGCGGCCCCGCCCCCCCGGCGGCCCCCUCCCCACCCCCACCCACACCACAGGGGGCGCUACGGCUUCACCACGCCCCCUCCCCUCUCCCCCCACUCCCCCAUGGCCCCGCCCACCCCUCACGGACUCUUCCACUCCCACACCGGGGGGCGGCCCGGGGGCGGGGCCAAGCUCCCCCUCACCGUCUCCCACUCACAGCCACACCCCCACGCGCACAUGCACGCCCACAGCCAGGCCGGCCACGGCCACGCCCACUCCCCCCUCAGCCCCUCCCCCUCGUCCGGCCCCCACUUCCUGUUCUCCACGCCGCCGCCGCAGACGCCGUCUGCGCGCCUGAUCACGCACACGCCGUACCCCCCCCUGCUCUCCGCCAUACCUCCCCCUCCCCCACACUCACCCCUUCCUCCCCCUGCCACGCCCCUCUCCCCCCACCCCCCCACAGCACCGGGGGGAGGAGCCAAGUCUAAGCCCAUCAGCCGCAUCAGCACAGUGGUGUGA